GUGUUUGACCAACUAUUGCUCUACAUUCACCCUGUAGAUCCGAAUUUGUCAGAAAAUUGAUUUGCCACGAAUUCGGCUCUAGAGAGGUUUGUGUGGUGCAUAUCAUGCAUCAUCUACU
rnacentral:pre_miRNA from 1 species